UGCUAGGCAUCUAGCAUAGCUGUAGAAGCCCUGCCGGAGGCUGAUUGCCUGCAUGGGCCACUCGUAAAGGGGCCAGCAGCUUCUCAGCUUCUAUGGAUGCUGCAGGUAUGUGCUAGCUGCCAGAGUGACUAGUGAGACACGCUGGUAAUGGGACAAAGAAUGAUGCUGACCCAUGAGCUUGCUGAGUACCCUGACAAUGAUGACAAGAAAGCUGUUUUGGACGUUUGUUUCUGAUACACAUUUGCUUGCCUAUAUCCCAGACUGGACAAUCUGCCUUGAUUGAAACUUUUAGACCUUGUUGGACAGAGAACAUGAAGACUGUACAGAACUUCAGAAUAUUAAUCAAAUAAAAGAAGCUAUAAUGA
rnacentral:sRNA from 1 species